rnacentral:lncRNA from 1 species
AUGCAUUUGAUACAAAGCAGAAAACAUGAGAGGAAGAUGGCACGCAGCAAAGGUUGUGAGCGGAAUAAAAAAAAUCCCCGACAUCAGCUGCAAAUGGUACAUGUGUCUGCUGAAUCCACCACUUCACCUUUGGGAGUGAAAGAAUUGCAGGAUGUGCGCUGGCAGAACCCCCCGUCUGACACCACUACAGUUGGUCCCCUCUGGAUAUCCUCUGCACCCCCCCUGCUCUCCUGUUCCACAACCUGCCUUCCCUCCUCCCUCCUUUCUUCCACAAGGAUGGUUUGUGUGCCUUAUCCAACUUUUUUUUCCCUUCUUCUCCCUCUCAUUUUUUAUUGCGAGCCCCUGAUCUAUUUUCCUUCAUCUCUAAACCUGAUUCUGCAUGAAUUUCAAAAGCUGGAACUUUGAGACCAAAGAUGUUCC